rnacentral:rRNA from 3 species
GGUUGACCUCGGAUCAGGUAGGGAUACCCGCUGAACUUAAGCAUAUCAAUAAGCGGAGGAAAA